UACGAAGGGGGCUAGCGUUGCUCGGAAUUACUGGGCGUAAAGGGAGCGUAGGCGGACAGUUUAGUCAGAGGUGAAAGCCCAGGGCUCAACCUUGGAAUUGCCUUUGAUACUGACUGUCUUGAGUAUGGGAGAGGUUAGCGGAACUCCGAGUGUAGAGGUGAAAUUCGUAGAUAUUCGGAAGAACACCAGUGGCGAAGGCGGCUAACCUGGCCCAUUACUGAC
rnacentral:rRNA from 1 species